ACGAACGCUGGCGGCGUGCUUAACACAUGCAAGUCGAACGCUGAACCCGCUUCGGUGGGGGAUGAGUGGCGAACGGGUGAGUAACACGUGGGCAACCUGCCCCCGGCUCUGGGAUAACUCCAAGAAAUUGGGGCUAAUACCGGAUGUGACCGCUGGCCGCAUGGUCUGGUGGUGGAAAGGGUUUCCGGCUGGGGAUGGGCCCGCGGCCUAUCAGCUUGUUGGUGGGGUAGUGGCCUACCAAGGCGACGACGGGUAGCCGGCCUGAGGGGGUGACCGGCCACACUGGGACUGAGACACGGCCCAGACUCCUACGGGAGGCAGCAGUGGGGAAUAUUGCGCAAUGGGCGGAAGCCUGACGCAGCGACGCCGCGUGGGGGAUGACGGCCUUCGGGUUGUAAACCUCUUUCAGCAGGGACGAAGCGCAAGUGACGGUACCUGCAGAAGAAGCACCGGCCAACUACGUG
rnacentral:rRNA from 1 species